GGGGAGUCAUGUGCCUGUUUGCUGACUCCCAGCUCUGCAGCCAGGGAAAUUGAAGCUUUCCUUUCAUCAGGAAGUAAAGAGAUGGACUGUAAAAUGCUGCUCUAAGUCUGUUGUUAAGACUGAAACUUCAGUGGAGUUUUGCUGCUGUGAGAAAUAUGUAAAACCAAGACCAGGCACUAUAAUAACUAAAGCUGAAAAUGAAACAGGUUAAAUCAGGAAAAAAGAAAGAAGUCUUUUCUUCUUGCUAAGAUUUUUAGGCUGGGUUCCAGCUAUACAUGGUGAAAAAAAUAA